rnacentral:tRNA from 1 species
UGGAGUAUAGCCAAGUGGUAAGGCAUCGGUUUUUGGUGCUGGUAUGAAAAGGUUUGAAUCCUUUUACUCCAG